UUUCCACUAUGUUUCUUUUCCCUUCCCCCAGACCUUACAGUUUGGAGUGCAAGAUGUUUAAGAAGGAUCAAUACCUGUAAAGAAGGUUGAGGAAGCAGAUUGGGCAGAAGUUGAACUGUGGCGUAAGCUGACAAAUGCAUGUCAACAUCGUAAAGAACUCUGGAGCAAAUAUUGCCAGUAAGAAUGCAGCACCUCUGCCACUGGGGUGAAAUGGCCAGGCCUUCAUCCCCCACCUCAUUCAGUCACCAGAUGCAGGCUGCCCUGGAAAGGAUGCGACCUUGAAUGAUCUUCUCUGAACCACUAACAGAUCCUGAAGAAACUCACAGCUAGACAUGUCUGCUGACUAUACUCUUCCAGCUGGGAAGCAAAUCCUUCCCUGAAGCUAUUGAGUCUGUGUUCACUGAGGCAUCUCCUGACCCUAGAGACAACUCCACCUAUGGCAAGACUCUCAACAAUCCUAUGCUAGCUAUCCCACAGCAAAAGAUUAACAAAAAAUUGGAUCUUAUGACUCCGUAUCAUUGGUUACUCCUCAGCAACAACACUAAUUCUGGGAAGUUCGGAUAGUACAUUUGACUGCCUGAUUUGAAAAUUUCCCAACGGAGCAGGGAGGUCAACGCUCCUGAAGAUGCUGACUGGAGCUACUCUUCACAGAUGGGAUGAUCUGAAAACACUCUCAAAAUCAGGCGUUACCAUGAGCAUCGACAAGAGCAGCUGGAUUUAGAUCUCUCACCUUUGGAGUCCAUGAUGACGUGCUACCCAGAGAUCAAGGAGAAGGAAGAAAUGAGGAGGAUCACUGGGCGAAGUGGUUUCACUGGGAAACAGCAGGUGAGCCCACUCCAGAACCUGUCAGAUGGAAAACAUGCCGAGUGUGUCUGGCCUGGCUGCUCUGGCAAACCACCUGCCCCAUGCUCUGCCUGGAUGAGUACACCAGUCCCCUGGAUAUCGAGAUCAUCGAUGCGCUGGCAGAUGCCAUCAGUGAGUUUGAGGGUGGGAGGAUGCUAGUCGCAGGUCACACAGGAAAUUUGGGUCUCUGAGAAGCAGACAAUCACUAAGAGACCUGGAGACAUCCUGGCUUAUAAGGAGCACCUCAAGUCCAAGCUGGUGGGUGAGGAGCCUCAGUGCACCAAGAGGCCCCACGACGUGUGAGCCCUCUGCCCUGGUUGGGGUCAGGAGCUCCAUCUGGGAACUAACUGCUGCUACCCUGACCACCACUCAGCACAGGACCCUGGGGCUGCACUCCUGCAUUGCUGCAGUACUGCUCCCCCGGCCCCUCUCCAUCCCUCAACCUGUCUUAGCUGCACUCUGUUAUCUUAUCUACAGCUAAAUAAUACCUGUCUGUUUCCACGUCUGUACUCCAUGGCGUUGUCCUCCAGUCCAGUGCUGGCUUUCUUGUCAGAGAGGGAUGCAGCCAGAGGCUCCUGAAGGCUGGCUCAAUGGCCCAAGCCCUGGAUUUGGCACUGAAGGAGCUCAAGAUCUUCAUUUUCUGGGUUUUGGUGAUGUUGGACAAAUACCCCCAGCCCACUGCCCCUAUUCGUUUUGCUUCUGGUUUGGAGCUCUGAGUUCUGGACCUUAGUCCUAGUCAAUUUUUUUGUUUGUUUGUUUGAUUGGUUGGUUGG